GAUGAACGCUGGCGGCGUGCUUAACACAUGCAAGUCGAACGGGAAAUAUUUCAUUGAGACUUCGGUGGAUUUGAUCUAUUUCUAGUGGCGGACGGGUGAGUAACGCGUGGGUAACCUGCCUUAUACAGGGGGAUAACAGUCAGAAAUGGCUGCUAAUACCGCAUAAGCGCACAGAGCUGCAUGGCUCAGUGUGAAAAACUCCGGUGGUAUAAGAUGGACCCGCGUUGGAUUAGCUAGUUGGUGGGGUAACGGCCCACCAAGGCGACGAUCCAUAGCCGGCCUGAGAGGGUGAACGGCCACAUUGGGACUGAGACACGGCCCAGACUCCUACGGGAGGCAGCAGUGGGGAAUAUUGCACAAUGGGGGAAACCCUGAUGCAGCGACGCCGCGUGAAGGAAGAAGUAUCUCGGUAUGUAAACUUCUAUCAGCAGGGAAGAUAGUGACGGUACCUGACUAAGAAGCCCCGGCU
rnacentral:rRNA from 1 species